UGUGACUGAUCUAGAGUACAAUGU
rnacentral:piRNA from 1 species